rfam:Rickettsia prowazekii str. Madrid E, complete genome
UCCUCGGUAGCUCAGUGGUAGAGCAAACGGCUGUUAACCGUUCGGUCGCUGGUUCGAGUCCGGCCCGGGGAG